AGCUUCCACCUGGUGGCCUUGUGGUUAGAGCGUCCGUAUUGGAUGCGGGAGGUCGUGGGUUCGAUCCCCAGCUGAGUUA